UACGGAGGGUGCAAGCGUUAAUCGGAAUUACUGGGCGUAAAGGGUUCGUAGGUGGUUUAGUAAGUUAACUGUGAAAUCCCUGGGCUUAACCUGGGGCGGUCAGUUAAGACUGCUGGACUUGAGUAUGGGAGAGGGUAGUGGAAUUUCCGGUGUAGCGGUGAAAUGCGUAGAGAUCGGAAGGAACACCGGUGGCGAAGGCGGCUACCUGGCCUAAUACUGACACUGAGGAACGAAAGCGUGGGGAGCAAACAGG
rnacentral:rRNA from 1 species